rnacentral:rRNA from 1 species
GGACGAACGCUGGCGGUAUGCUUAACACAUGCAAGUCGAACGAGAAGGAAGAGCUUGCUCUUCCUGAAAGUGGCGAACGGGUGAGUAACGCGUGGGUAACCUACCCUUUGGAAAGGAAUAGCCUCGGGAAACUGGGAGUAAUGCCUUAUAAGAUACGUUUGUCGCAUGGCAUUUGUAUUAAACGCUCCGGCGCCAUAGGAUGGACCCGCGUCCCAUUAGCUAGUUGGUGAGAUAACAGCUCACCAAGGCCACGAUGGGUAACCGGUCUGAGAGGGCGAACGGUCACACUGGAACUGAGACACGGUCCAGACUCCUACGGGAGGCAGCAGUGGGGAAUAUUGCGCAAUGGGGGCAACCCUGACGCAGCAAUACCGCGUGAGUGAAGAAGGUUUUCGGAUCGUAAAGCUCUGUUAUUGGGGAAGAAAAAAAGACGGUACCCAAGAAGAAAGUUCCGGCUAACUACGUGCCAGCAGCCGCGGUAAUACGUAGGGAACAAGCGUUGUCCGGAUUUACUGGGCGUAAAGGGCACGCAGGCGGUUUUUUAAGUCAGAUGUGAAAGGCCACAGCUCAACUGUGGACAUGCAUUUGAAACUGAAAGACUUGAGUAUUGGAGAGGCAAGUGGAAUUCCUAGUGUAGCGGUGAAAUGCGUAGAUAUUAGGAGGAACACCGGUGGCGAAGGCGGCUUGCCGGACAAAUACUGACGCUGA